ensembl:lncRNA
AACAUGAUGUGACUCUGUUAAGAUUCCGGCUGACCGAAAGCAUCAGUCUGAACUGCAACAUGACAGACAAAUUCAGAAUGGCCUGGUAUCACCAGAAUCCUGAUUCUGGACGACUAACACUGCUGCUGUCUGCCAAGAGCUGGUCAUCACUGCACAUUGAAUACUCUCAAAACAGUCGCAUGAGAGUUUAUGGGGAUAGGAUGAGCAUCUCACUAAAUAUUAUUGGACUAAUGGAGUCAGAUUCAGGUCUUUAUUACUGUGGAACAGGACAUACAUUUAAUUCAGUCAUGUACUUUGACAAACCCAUCAGACUAGUGAUGGAGGGUUAGUACAGCUUUUCAAUUUCUCUGAAAUCUUCAUAAUGUUUUUAAUGCUGAGAAUAAUUUGACUGUUUCUCAAUUUAUUUCAAUCAUCUAUGUUACAAAUUAACUUUCCAUAAAAAUGUAAGGAUCCACCCGCCAGCCCAAAUAGCAGAAUCCAGCAGCCUGGUCGAAGGUUUAAUGCGUAUUCGGUCUUUUACUCUGGUCAUCACUGCACACUGAAUACUCUCAAAACAGUCGCAUGAGAGUUUAUGGGGAUAGGAUGAGCAUCUCACUAAAUAUUAUUGGACUAAUGGAGUCAGAUUCAGGUCUUUAUUACUGUGGAACAGGACAUACAUUUAAUUCAGUCAUGUACUUUGACAAACCCAUCAGACUAGUGAUGGAGGAGAAGUUGACAGACAGAGAAGACAAAGUUCAUUCCAUCACAGAUCUGUCAGAGGAUGAUGAGAUCAGAGAUGCUUCAGAACAUAAUGUGACUCUGUUAAGAUUCCAGCUAAAUGAAACCCUCACUCUGAACUGCAACAUGACCGACAAAGCUGAAAUGACCUGGUAUCACCAGAAUCCUGAAUCUGGACGACUUACAAUGCUGAUAUUUGCCAUAUGGCCAUUACGGCUCUCUGUGUCAGGGAUCUGGCAAGCCCGGUUUCAACCAAUCCACAACGCUCACAGUCCCCUGAGUACUAACCAGUCACACCUGCCCCGCAUCAAGGAUCCAAUCAAGGCACUAUAAAACACUCACCAAUACAUCAGUUCUCCGUCAAGCCUCCAACAGGAACAGUCUCCUCGCACUUGCCUCCUGAGUUCCUGACACUUCACUGUUAUCCAGAUGUAACGUAUACUUACCCUUGUGUUACACUAACCUGUGUCCUUGUUCUGCUGCCCACAGGACCACGGAUCACCGAAUUGUUACCUGUGAUUCGGCGGUCUCUGUAGUCUCCUGUGUAUAUUCCGAGCUGGUACUGUCUUCGGCAUCUGUUAAGGAAGAGAACAUACGUGAGCGAUCUGUGACUGUGGCUUUGACACUCCUGAAUCAAACGUGCUCACCUGUCUACUAUCCCAUCCCCUGUGUUUAUCAUACUGCCCGCACUUGAAGACACGAAGCACUCACCGAGCACUUGAAGAUGAAGUAUUCAACGAGGACUUGUAUAUUCAAAUAAAAACACUGUUCUGAAUUCA